rnacentral:rRNA from 1 species
GAUCAUGGCUCAGGAUGAACGCUAGCGACAGGCUUAACACAUGCAAGUCGAGGGGCAGCAUAAAAGUAGCAAUACUUUGGUGGCGACCGGCGCACGGGUGAGUAACGCGUAUGCAACCUACCUAUCAGGAGGGGAAUAACCCGGCGAAAGUCGGACUAAUACCGCAUAAAACAGGGGCACCGCAUGGUGAUAUUUGUUAAAGAAAUUCGCUGAUAGAUGGGCAUGCGUUCCAUUAGGUAGUUGGUGAGGUAACGGCUCACCAAGCCGACGAUGGAUAGGGGAACUGAGAGGUUGGUCCCCCACACUGGUACUGAGACACGGACCAGACUCCUACGGGAGGCAGCAGUGAGGAAUAUUGGUCAAUGGGCGAGAGCCUGAACCAGCCAAGUCGCGUGAAGGAAGAAGGAUCUAUGGUUCGUAAACUUCUUUUGCAGGGGAAUAAAGUGCAGGACGUGUCCUGUUUUGUAUGUACCCUGAGAAUAAGGAUCGGCUAACUCCGUGCCAGCAGCGGC